UGCAAAGUUACUUGACUCUGCUGCCAUCUUUUCACUCUGUGUUUUAGAAAUCACUCAAAAAGACUGCAGCUUUUCCUUUUGGCUCGGAUACCAGAUUGUUGAGAAUGAGAACAAGAAAAGAACUCAAACAAACAAAACUAGAUUGAAAUGACUUGAUAUUAUUGAAUAAAAGUGGCUGUUAUAUAGCCUUACAAAUAAACCAAAUAGCUAGAAAAUAGCUCAACUAACAGAAACGUGGUAAAAGAAAAAAUCAAAGCAGAAACACCAAAAAAAGUGUCAACUGUGAACAACUCUUCCUAGAUACUAGGAACCUUAUUCAAUCUAAAAACUAAAACCCUUUCAG
rnacentral:lncRNA from 1 species